UACGAGGGGGGCAAAUGUUGUUCGGAAUCACUGGGCGUAAAGGGAGCGUAGGCGGGUUCUUAAGUUAGGUGUUUAAUCCCGGGGCCCAACCCCGGACCGGCACUUAAAACUGGGAAUCUUGAAUAGUGGAGAGGUCGGUGGAAUUGGAGGUGUAGCGGUGGAAUGCGUAGAGAUCUCCAAGAACACCAGUUGCGAAGGCGGCCGACUGGACACAUAUUGACGCUGAGGCUCGAAAGCAUGGGGAGCAAACAGGG
rnacentral:rRNA from 1 species